GAUGAAGAACGUAGCGAAAUGCGAUACGUAAUGUGAAUUGCAGAAUUCAGUGAAUCAUCGAAUCUUUGAACGCAUAUUGCGCUCUUUGGUAUUCCGAAGAGCAUGCUUGUUUGAGUAUCAGUAAACACCUCAAAGCUUUUGGAUUUUUUAAUCGAAAAGCUUUGGACUUGAGCAAUCCCAACACCAAUCUUUUUGAGAUCGGUGGCGGGUUGCUUGAAAUGCAGGUGCAGCUGGACAUUCUCCUGAGCGAAAAGCAUAUUCAUUUAGUCCCGUCAAACGGAUUAUUACUUUUGCUGCAGCUAACAUAAAGGGAGUUUGACCGUAUUGGCUGACUGAUGCAGGAUUUCACAAGGGUCGGCAACGAUUCUUGUUAAACUCGAUCUCAAAUCAAGUAAGACUACCCGCUGAACUUAAGCAUAUCAAUAAGCGGAGGA
rnacentral:misc_RNA from 1 species